GCAGAACUCUGGGUGUCUCACCAUGGCCUGGAUCCCUCUACUUCUCCCCCUCCUCACUCUCUGCACAGGCUCUGAGGCCUCCUAUGAGCUGACACAGCCACCCUCGGUGUCAGUGUCCCCAGGACAGACGGCCAGGAUCACCUGCUCUGGAGAUGCAUUGCCAAAGCAAUAUGCUUAUUGGUACCAGCAGAAGCCAGGCCAGGCCCCUGUGCUGGUGAUAUAUAAAGACAGUGAGAGGCCCUCAGGGAUCCCUGAGCGAUUCUCUGGCUCCAGCUCAGGGACAACAGUCACGUUGACCAUCAGUGGAGUCCAGGCAGAAGACGAGGCUGACUAUUACUGUCAAUCAGCAGACAGCAGUGGUACUUAUCCCACAGUAAAGCUGGCAGGAUUUUCAUACAUGUCAGCCCAAGGCUGCCCCCUCGGUCACUCUGUUCCCGCCCUCCUCUGAGGAGCUUCAAGCCAACAAGGCCACACUGGUGUGUCUCAUAAGUGACUUCUACCCGGGAGCCGUGACAGUGGCCUGGAAGGCAGAUAGCAGCCCCGUCAAGGCGGGAGUGGAGACCACCACACCCUCCAAACAAAGCAACAACAAGUACGCGGCCAGCAGCUAUCUGAGCCUGACGCCUGAGCAGUGGAAGUCCCACAGAAGCUACAGCUGCCAGGUCACGCAUGAAGGGAGCACCGUGGAGAAGACAGUGGCCCCUACAGAAUGUUCAUAGGUUCUCAACCCUCACCCCCCACCACGGGAGACUAGAGCUGCAGGAUCCCAGGGGAGGGGUCUCUCCUCCCACCCCAAGGCAUCAAGCCCUUCUCCCUGCACUCAAUAAACCCUCAAUAAAUAUUCUCAUUGUCAAUCAG
rnacentral:lncRNA from 1 species